AGCAGCCGUGUCAAAUUCAGUGCCACUGGCCAAAAUGGCUGCCACAGUGACGGUGUAGUUCAUGGGCCCCACGGUGCUCCAUCAUGGCCACUGGGGAUAAAUAUGUACUACACACAAAC